rnacentral:rRNA from 1 species
CCAGCCACCGCGGUUAUACGAGAGGCCCAAGUUGACGUCCAUCGGCGUAAAGCGUGGUUAAGGCCAGAUCAAAAAUAAAGCCGAACGCCCUCAAGACUGUCAUACGUGUUCGAGGGUGAGAAGUUCAACAACGAAAGUGACUUUAUACCCCUGAACCCACGAAAGCUAUGGAACAAACUGGGAUUAGAUACCCCACUAUG